AGGUCCAUAUACGGACUUUACACCUUGGACAACAGAAGAACAGAAGAUUUUGGAACAAGCUUUGAAAACAUACCCAGUAAAUACACCUGAAAGAUGGGAAAAAAUAGCAGAAGCUGUGCCUGGCAGGACAAAGAAGGACUGCAUGAAACGAUACAAGGAACUUGUUGAGAUGGUAAAAGCAAAGAAAGCUGCUCAAGAACAAGUGCUGAAUGCAAGUAGAGCCAAGAAAUGACUUAAUGACAAUCUUUGUUAUGUGUGCAUUUUUAUAAUAAAACUGAAAAUACUGUAAACAUUUUCAUUCUUAAAA